AUGAACGCUAGCUACAGGCUUAACACAUGCAAGUCGAGGGGCAGCAUGAUUGAAGCUUGCUUCAAUCGAUGGCGACCGGCGCACGGGUGAGUAACACGUAUCCAACCUGCCGAUAACUCGGGGAUAGCCUUUCGAAAGAAAGAUUAAUACCCGAUAGCAUAGUAUUUCCGCAUGGUUUCACUAUUAAAGAACUUCGGUUAUCGAUGGGGAUGCGUUCCAUUAGAUAGUUGGCGGGGUAACGGCCCACCAAGUCAACGAUGGAUAGGGGUUCUGAGAGGAAGGUCCCCCACAUUGGAACUGAGACACGGUCCAAACUCCUACGGGAGGCAGCAGUGAGGAAUAUUGGUCAAUGGACGAGAGUCUGAACCAGCCAAGUAGCGUGAAGGAUGACUGCCCUAUGGGUUGUAAACUUCUUUUAUACGGGAAUAAAGUGGAGUAUGCAUACUCCUUUGUAUGUACCGUAUGAAUAAGGAUCGGCUAACUCCGUGCCAGCAGCCGCGGUAAUACGGAGGAUCCGAGCGUUAUCCGGAUUUAUUGGGUUUAAAGGGAGCGUAGGCGGGUGCUUAAGUCAGUUGUGAAAGUUUGCGGCUCAACCGUAAAAUUGCAGUUGAUACUGGGUACCUUGAGUGCAGCAUAGGUAGGCGGAAUUCGUGGUGUAGCGGUGAAAUGCUUAGAUAUCACGAAGAACUCCUAUUGCGAAGGCAGCUUACUGGACUGUAACUGACGCUGAUGCUCGAAAGUGUGGGUAUCAAACAGGAUUAGAUACCCUGGUAGUCCACACAGUAAACGAUGAAUACUCGCUGUUGGCGAUACACAGUCAGCGGCCAAGCGAAAGCAUUAAGUAUUCCACCUGGGGAGUACGCCGGCAACGGUGAAACUCAAAGGAAUUGACGGGGGCCCGCACAAGCGGUGGAGCAUGUGGUUUAAUUCGAAGCAACGCGAAGAACCUUACCAGGUCUUGACAUCGAUCUAAAGGCUCCAGAGAUGGAGAGAUAGCUAUAGAGAAGACAGGUGGUGCAUGGUUGUCGUCAGCUCGUGUCGUGAGAUGUUGGGUUAAGUCCCGCAACGAGCGCAACCCCUGUCCUUAGUUGCCAGCAUGUAGAGAUGGGAACUCUAAGGAGACUGCCGUAGAUAAUACGGAGGAAGGUGGGGAUGACGUCAAAUCAGCACGGCCCUUACGUCCGGGGCUACACACGUGUUACAAUGGGGGGUACAGAAGGCAGCUACCUGGCGACAGGAUGCUAAUCCCAAAAACCUCUCUCAGUUCGGAUUGGAGUCUGCAACCCGACUCCAUGAAGCUGGAUUCGCUAGUAAUCGCGCAUCAGCCACGGCGCGGUGAAUACGUUCCCGGGCCUUGUACACACCGCCCGUCAAGCCAUGAAAGCCGGGGGUACCUGAAGUACGUAACCGCAAGGAGCGUCCUAGGGUAAAACUGGUGAUUGGGGCU
rnacentral:rRNA from 1 species